CUCGCAGUUCAUUCGAGCUGUUCGCCAAAGCAAAGCGCGACUGCGAAGAAGUAACUCGACGUGGAUUAACUGGCACGAAGAUUCACGUUGGCUGACACUUCCUCCUUCGAUCUUCCUCUUCUAGACACACGAGGGAAAGAAGCCGGCGAAUAGGGCACAUGCGCGACUUCGACGCGGCAUUGUGAAAUUCACCAGAGUAUAAACGUUCAUCUGCUGGCUGGUGAGUGAAUGGAAGUGAUUGCUGAACGGGUUGAUGCGAAUUGGAUCUUUUUGUGGGUUCGACGUGGAGGGUUCGAAUCCCUUCCUUCUGUGAAAGCUGAUUUGCAUAGGAAGGUUCGUGGAAUAUGAGAACGGUGCUUGGUAAAUGUUGGAUGAUCAUUGAUUCGUCUGUGAUAUAAAAUGUGUUGGUCAGAUAAGCAUAGUGAAGUUACUACUAAGUAUGUUUUUGUGUUACUACGUCAUUAAAAGGAAAUAUUCCGUUAAAAUGAAGAGCUUAAAGAAUGGUACUUAUCUACAAUCUUGAUUCUACAUCUUAACGAACGCUUUUCUCUAAUUUGAAAGUUCUCUGUACAAUUAACACUUGCAUGAAGUACCAGACAACGCAACCUUUUCCUUGUUGUAAGCUAGAAUUUUCAUUUAAUUCACCAAUUUUUAUUCUUCGAUUACAUUAUACACGAAAAAAUGUUUGCUUUUGUAUUAAUACCUAUUUUAAUAUUUAUUAAAUUUAAUCCUUUAUUCGUUAUCAACAACAGUUCGUAUUUUAUCUAGAUAAAGCUUUAAAUCCAUUUAAAAAUCAUAUACGCAUAUGUACAGCGUUUGUAUAUCGCUCUUCCAUUUAUCGCUUCAAAAAACAUACCACGCAGACUCGAUAAAAAUAAGACAAGAUCUUUGAAAGAAUUUGGCUAUUAAAUUUAUGUUUGAGAAUAAAACUAUUCAUUGAAUCAAAAUUAUUCUUCGUUUAUUAUUGUCUUGCUAUUAUUGCUUCGUGUUAUAAUUGUACAUUGGUGAAUGGUAAUAGUAAACGAUGACGAAUCGUGUACAAUCCUGAGCGUGAAGAAUCAGAAACAAUAUAAUAAGUACAAGCUGGUGACGGUUGAGUCUUACGUGAUUUCGUAAUUAAUUAAAGGUAGCUGCCCUUUAAAUAAACUUAACAUACUUAUACGAUAAAUUCUAUAAAAUACAGAGAGUACAAUUAUACAAUUGCAAUACCGUGCGAAGGAAAAACGAAAAAGUGAUUCGCAUAAGCAGAAAUUGCAAAUAAUUUUGAGAAUUAAUCUUGCAUUUUUAAUAUUUAAUACUUAUAUAACACGGCACUAAUGCUUUACUUUUUUCGACCUUAAAAUGAAAUUAUUAUUCAAAUCGUAUUCAUAAAAAAUUCUAUACAUAGAAAGUAAAAUUUGCAUAUACGAAUUAAGAAUUAAAAUAAAAUCGAAGUUUCGACUUCGAUUUUUCAAAAUUUAUUUUGACUUAUUACACUUGGUCCUUUCAUUCCUUCUAUGAUAAAAAUCUCUUAUUGUUUUAUAUUUUCCACUGCACAGUAUCACAGUAGAUCGACCUACCGAAAAGAUUUUCAAAAAUAACGAAUAUUUGUAUUUAAUAUUGCCUCGAUUAAAAAAUUCUAUUAAAAGACAAUCGUGUGGCAACAGAAACCUAUUAAAAACUUAAUGUUAAAAUUUCUAAAAAUCAACACCUUGUUCAUCGACGCAGUAUUUGAACAUGUAAUAAGAAAAGAAUAAGACAACACAUUCGUUGAAUAAGAGUAUAAUGAUAUUUUUAAGUAACAUAUAACUACGUGAUCGAUGAACCAAGCGUCUAGAGAUUCUCGAAGAAUAAUAAAAAUUAAGUACUUGGAUCGUGUAAGUUGACCGCCUAAUUAAUUAAACCUAUGUUGUACGACAGUCAGCGAAAGAGUUGAGGCAGUUUUACAUUCAUACAGAAUAUUACAAGUAUUAUCAUUAACUUACACCGAUGUUUAAUACUUUGGUUUUCAUUUCACACGUCCUAUCAUCAUCGACGUAGUCUAUUUUGAUUUUUCGCAUGAAAAAAUAUCUCUUAUUGCACUUAUCAUGCAUAGAGCGUUUAAACACGUUUAUGAAUUCAACCAGUGACCAUUUUUUAUUUUUUUAUUAUAUUUUAUUAUAUAUAUGAUUACAACACGUAAUCAUUUUUUUCGUUUUCCAAAUUUUUCAUUAGAUUGGUCACCGUGAAAUUCACGAUUUUAUAACAAUCUUUUCUCGAUACCUGGAAGACUAUAACACGAAUGGCGUCCAAUAUACAUUGUAAAAUCUCAUUUUCAGAAAAUAGAGCGUAGAAAAAUUAAUGUUUCUCUAAAAUAUCGCGUAAACGUUUCAUUUCGAAGGCUCGAGGUGAAAAAGGGUAUAAAUAAGGAUGAUUGUGUGAUCAUAGAUCGAUAUUUACAGAUGACUUCUCCGAUGAAAAACAAUUCAGUGUUAUAAAUAAUCGUGUUAAUAAUGGAUAGAUAAUUGAAAAUGUUGUGGAGCAAAGAGAUUUCUAAAAAU